rnacentral:sRNA from 1 species
UAUUUGCGUUAGGGAUAGAAGUGAAAAGCCCGGAGCCUGACGAAGGAAGUGCGAGGACUUGUCGCGAAUAGCCCGACCGAAG